CAGCAGCCGCGGUAAUACGUAGGGGGCAAGCGUUAUCCGGAUUUACUGGGUGUAAAGGGAGCGUAGACGGCUGUGCAAGUCUGAAGUGAAAGGCAUGGGCUCAACCUGUGGACUGCUUUGGAAACUGUGCAGCUAGAGUGUCGGAGAGGUAAGUGGAAUUCCUAGUGUAGCGGUGAAAUGCGUAGAUAUUAGGAGGAACACCAGUGGCGAAGGCGGCUUACUGGACGAUGACUGACGUUGAGGCUCGAAAGCGUGGGGAGCAAACAGGAUUAGAUACCCUGGUAGUCCACGCCGUAAACGAUGACUGCUAGGUGUCGGGUAGCAAAGCUAUUCGGUGCCGCCGCUAACGCAGUAAGUAUUCCACCUGGGGAGU
rnacentral:rRNA from 1 species